GUGGGGAAUCUUGCGCAAUGGGCGAAAGCCUGACGCAGCCAUGCCGCGUGAAUGAUGAAGGUCUUAGGAUUGUAAAAUUCUUUCACCGGGGACGAUAAUGACGGUACCCGGAGAAGAAGCUCCGGCUAACUUCGUGCCAGCAGCCGCGGUAAUACGAAGGGGGCUAGCGUUGCUCGGAAUUACUGGGCGUAAAGGGCGCGUAGGCGGACAGCUUAGUCAGAGGUGAAAGCCCAGGGCUCAACCUUGGAAUUGCCUUUGAUACUGGCUGUCUUGAGUUUGGGAGAGGUGAGUGGAACUCCGAGUGUAGAGGUGAAAUUCGUAGAUAUUCGGAAGAACACCAGUGGCGAAGGCGACUCACUGGCCCAAUACUGACGCUGAGGCGCGAAAGCGUGGGGAGCAAACAGGAUUAGAAACCCUAGUGU
rnacentral:rRNA from 1 species